rnacentral:rRNA from 1 species
CCAGUGAAUUGUAUACGACUCACUAUAGGGCGAAUUGGGCCNGACGUCGCAUGCUCCCGGCCGCCAUGGCGGCCGCGGGAAUUCGAUUAGGGUUUGAUUCUGGCUCAGAUUGAACGCUGGCGGCAGGCUUAACACAUGCAAGUCGAACGAUGAUUAUCUAGCUUGCUAGAUAUGAUUAGUGGCGGACGGGUGAGUAACAUUUAGGAAUCUGCCUAGUAGUGGGGGAUAGCUCGGGGAAACUCGAAUUAAUACCGCAUACGACCUACGGGUGAAAGGGGGCGCAAGCUCUUGCUAUUAGAUGAGCCUAAAUCAGAUUAGCUAGUUGGUGGGGUAAAGGCCCACCAAGGCGACGAUCUGUAACUGGUCUGAGAGGAUGAUCAGUCACACCGGAACUGAGACACGGUCCGGACUCCUACGGGAGGCAGCAGUGGGGAAUAUUGGACAAUGGGGGCAACCCUGAUCCAGCCAUGCCGCGUGUGUGAAGAAGGCCUUUUGGUUGUAAAGCACUUUAAGCAGGGAGGAGAGGCUAAUGGUUAAUACCCAUUAGAUUAGACGUUACCUGCAGAAUAAGCACCGGCUAACUCUGUGCCAGCAGCCGCGGUAAUACAGAGGGUGCGAGCGUUAAUCGGAAUUACUGGGCGUAAAGCGAGUGUAGGUGGCUCAUUAAGUCACAUGUGAAAUCCCCGGGCUUAACCUGGGAACUGCAUGUGAUACUGGUGGUGCUAGAAUAUGUGAGAGGGAAGUAGAAUUCCAGGUGUAGCGGUGAAAUGCGUAGAGAUCUGGAGGAAUACCGAUGGCGAAGGCAGCUUCCUGGCACAAUAUUGACACUGAGAUUCGAAAGCGUGGGUAGCAAACAGGAUUAGAUACCCUGGUAGUCCACGCCGUAAACGAUGUCUACUAGCCGUUGGGGUCCUUGAGACUUUAGUGGCGCAGUUAACGCGAUAAGUAGACCGCCUGGGGAGUACGGCGCCAAGGUUAAAACUCAAAUGAAUUGACGGGGGCCCGCACAAGCGGUGGAGCAUGUGGUUUAAUUCGAUGCAACGCGAAGAACCUUACCUGGUCUUGACAUAGUGAGAAUCCUGCAGAGAUGCGGGAGUGCCUUCGGGAAUUCACAUACAGGUGCUGCAUGGCUGUCGUCAGCUCGUGUCGUGAGAUGUUGGGUUAAGUCCCGCAACGAGCGCAACCCUUUUCCUUAUUUGCCAGCGGGUUAAGCCGGGAACUUUAAGGAUACUGCCAGUGACAAACUGGAGGAAGGCGGGGACGACGUCAAGUCAUCAUGGCCCUUACGACCAGGGCUACACACGUGCUACAAUGGUAGGUACAGAGGGUUGCUACACAGCGAUGUGAUGCUAAUCUCAAAAAGCCUAUCGUAGUCCGGAUUGGAGUCUGCAACUCGACUCCAUGAAGUCGGAAUCGCUAGUAAUCGCGGAUCAGAAUGCCGCGGUGAAUUA